UCCUCUAGAAUACCUCCCGAACCCUUCUCCCAACUCAUCAUCUCACACCUUCUACAUCCAACUCCUCCUCUCACGCCUCUCCUUCCAACUUCUCUCCGACAAACCCCUCUCCGAAGUGAACUGGGAGGAAGAGGACGACAAUGAGUGCAUUUCCACAGCUUGUUGACUUCAUUUGGAGAGGGUUUCUUCAAGUGAAGAGUCGUUCACCAUUGUCGUGUCGAAGUGUGCAGUCACCAGCAGAGUUUUGUUUGAAUGCUUGUAUUGAACUUAAUUCCCUAUGUUUGAAUUGCACUCAUCUUGCUUUAUUUGUUUCAUGCAUAGUAGGUGUUCGGUGAAAUGUCUCUUUAUUUUAAUUCCAUGUAAUGCUUGUUAGUUUAGUGAUUUAUGUUCCUAUGAUGUUUGUUCUUUAUUUGAAUGCAAUUAGUUUAGGUUUUGUUACAUGCUCUAGUUUUUGUUUCACUAGAUGUUUACUUGAUGUGUUUUUACUUUCCAUGCUCUAGGUUAGAUUGGAUCAAAAAUCCAGACUACGAACAAGUGAGUUUCCUACUUUCCCUUGCAAAUUGUUGACAUGCAUAUAUAGUUUGUCAUUGGAUGAUUAUCAUUGCAUCAUUGUAGGAGUUAGUUUUGGGUGACAAAACUUUGACUGAGUCUGUAUCUCAACAUUGUGAAUCUAUAAACAACUACAUAGAAUAUAUACUAAUUAUCCUAGUUAGACCUUGCCAUGUGGACUACAGAAACAAUUUUACAUGUCAUCUGCAAGGUAUUUACUUUUCCUAUGUUUGCCUUUAUGUUUAUUUGAUAGUUUUAUUCCAGUUGACUCUGUUCUGAUGCAUCAGUUUCCUAACUUUUUUGAAAUAAGGUUUUGACUUCUUGGAUGAUAGAAGUUGAGAUUGUGAAAAUUUCACAUGUCGUUUGCUUAUUCUUGUUGUCUUUCAUUAAAUAUUGAGAUUUUGAAAAUUUUACAUGCAGUGUCUUUUCAGAUAUUUUGAAUGAUGAAUGGAGGUAUUCAGAAACUCCAGCUAAAUAGCUCGAAUAUGGAUGAUUAUAGGAGCAACAACUACAUGCUAUGUGGCACUGCAUCCAAACCUCAAGGGUGUGACUGGAAAGUACUUUGACGAAGAACUAUUAAGAAGACUUUGAGAUUUAAAUGAGAAGAUGGUUAAAGCCAAUUAGUAAAGAACAUUCAAGUUAAGAGGAUAAGUAUCAUCUAUCAAGAUUCUUUAAGUUCAUGCAAUAAGAUGUAGUCGAUAGGAGUAAUUUUGAAUGUCUCGUAAUUAAAAUUUCUUUGUAUGCAAGUAAUUAUGUUUGUUAUAGAAGUGUAAGGAUGAUAAUUUCUAUAUUGAUCUUAGUUGUUUAUUUAA